AUACGGAGGAUCCGAGCGUUAUCCGGAUUUAUUGGGUUUAAAGGGAGCGUAGGCGGACGCUUAAGUCAGUUGUGAAAGUUUGCGGCUCAACCGUAAAAUUGCAGUUGAUACUGGGUGUCUUGAGUACAGUAGAGGCAGGCGGAAUUCGUGGUGUAGCGGUGAAAUGCUUAGAUAUCACGAAGAACUCCGAUUGCGAAGGCAGCCUGCUGGACUGUAACUGACGCUGAUGCUCGAAAGUGUGGGUAUCAAACAGGAUUAGAUACCCUGGUAGUCCGCACAGUAAACGAUGAAUACUCGCUGUUUGCGAUACACUGUAAGCGGCCAAGCGAAAGCGUUAAGUAUUCCACCUGGGGAGUACGCCGGCAACGGUGAAACUCAAAUGAAUUGACGGGG
rnacentral:rRNA from 1 species